UAAUCGUCCUAAAGUGAAUGCAAAGAACAAAAUAUAAUUCACGACAAAGGAACGUAGGCGCCAUGCCGUCCAGAUAGAGUAUAGAAUGGCAACAGCCGAUUAUCUUAUACCAUUUGAUAUAAACACGCUACGACGGGACAUUAUAAGUGAUAAGAGGCGUCAGAUCCUGUGCUAGAAGCCAGCUGCGACCGAGUAGUGCAGCUGUGUACAACUGGAGGCCCAUCACUG